rnacentral:rRNA from 1 species
UACGGAGGGUGCAAGCGUUAAUCGGAAUUACUGGGCGUAAAGCGCACGCAGGUGGCUGAGUAAGUCGAUUGUGAAAGCCCUGGGCUUAACCUGGGAAUUGCAGUCGAUACUGCUCGGCUAGAGUAUGGGAGAGGGUAGUGGAAUUCCCGGUGUAGCGGUGAAAUGCGUAGAUAUCGGGAGGAACAUCAGUGGCGAAGGCGGCUACCUGGCCCAAUACUGACACUCAGGUGCGACAGCGUGGGGAGGCAAACAGG